AUGCCGCGUGAGUGAUGAAGGCCUUAGGGUUGUAAAGCUCUUUUACCCGGGAAGAUAAUGACUGUACCGGGAGAAUAAGCUCCGGCUAACUCCGUGCCAGCAGCCGCGGUAAUACGGAGGGAGCUAGCGUUGUUCGGAAUUACUGGGCGUAAAGCGCACGUAGGCGGCUUUGUAAGUUAGAGGUGAAAGCCUGGAGCUCAAC
rnacentral:rRNA from 1 species